GCUGGGCAUGGUGGCACAUACCUGUAAUCCCAGCAACUCGGGAGGCUGAGGCAGAAGGAUUUAAAGUUUGAGGCCAACUUAAUGAGACCCUGUCUCAA
rnacentral:sRNA from 1 species